ensembl:snRNA U6 U6 spliceosomal RNA
GUGCUCGCUUCAGCAGCACAUAUACUAGAAUAGGAAUGAUACAGAGAAGAUUAGCAUGGCCCCUGUUCAAGGAAGACACACAAAUUCGUGAAGCAGUCCAUAUUUUU